GACGAACGCUGGCGGCGUGCUUAACACAUGCAAGUCGAACGGAAAGGCCCUGCUUGCAGGGUACUCGAGUGGCGAACGGGUGAGUAACACGUGGGUGAUCUGCCCUGCACUUCGGGAUAAGCCUGGGAAACUGGGUCUAAUACCGGAUAGGAGCCAUUUUUAGUGUGAUGGUUGGAAAGUUUUUUCGGUGUAGGAUGAGCUCGCGGCCUAUCAGCUUGUUGGUGGGGUAAUGGCCUACCAAGGCGGCGACGGGUAGCCGGCCUGGGAGGGUGGACGGCCACAUUGGGACUGAGAUACGGCCCAGACUCCUACGGGAGGCAGCAGUGGGAAAUAUUGCACAAUGGGCGCAAGCCUGAUGCAGCGACGCCGCGUGGGGGAUGACGGCCUUCGGGUUGUAAACUCCUUUCGCUAGGGACGAAGCUUUUUGUGACGGUACCUAGAUAAGAAGCACCGGCUAACUACGUG
rnacentral:rRNA from 1 species